CCGGAAGUGACGUCAUGCGGAAGUAUCAUGCGUUCCACGGUGGCAAAUAGGAACACCACGGUUCCAACACCGGCGAACAUUUGAGCGAUUAGAAGGCGGAUAUAUAAGAAGAUUCUCAAAAACAAUCACAGCUACACAUCCCUGAGGAAGUCCAGAGGAGGACGAAACGCAUUGGAAUUGUUUUUAUUUUGUUUUUGUAUUGAAUUUUAAUAUUGUUUGGUUGCUGUUAUUACUGCUCCGGAUCCUGUAUCUUGAUUGGUUCAGUUGCUACAAAUGAAUACCACCCAGUGUGGAGACAAGCUGCUUUUAUUCUGAUACAUUGUAAGUGCAAUACAUGUAAUAAAUUGUUACUCUUUAUACAAUCUGCACUAUCUAUUUCUAUUUCUUCUUUCCAUUUGGAGUGAAUUAGAAGAUUUGCUGCUAUUAUACAAUUGGAAUCAUCGCUGGAGGUCCUUCAUAUUUUCCAGUCCCCUAAUACAGAGGGAGAUAUGCCUGAUCUCAUCCUAUUUUUGUGAGUUCUUUACCACCCAUAAUUUCCAAGUGGCUCUAACAAUAUUACACUAUAUAUUGUUUGUGUAUUUUUUACAGAUAUAAUUCUGAAUCUAAAAUAUACCAACAUAAUCCAGUUUGUAUUCACUUAUUUAUUAUCACUUUUGGUGAUUCACAUUAUUUUGUACCUUUGGUUUUUUCUUUUUCUUGUCACUGUUGUUAUUUGAGUGUUUAUAAGGGAACACUUAUAAACCUAGGGUACUGUGUGCAUUAUAGCACUGACAGUUAACUGUUUGUUUUCUUCCAUACUCUGACCUGUGCUUGAUGGGGAGCAGCAAAGAAAGAGGCAAUAGUUAGUUGAGAGGGGCCUUUUAUGAUUUUCUCUCUAUGUUAAUGUGCUGCUGUGGAGUUAUAGUAAAGAGAGACUUAAGCAAAUAUGAAGCCUCCUGUCAUGUUAUAAAAUGUUGUCUCUUUAUAAAUCACUGGUAAGACCACACUGAAAAAGUGCACGGACAAAAUUGAUAAAAGGAAUGGAGUAUUUUAGUUAUGAAGAAAGGUUAAAAAAUGUAAAUCUCUUUGUUAUCACAGCCUCAGAGGGGCUCUGAUAACAUUAUACAAAUUUAUUUGGGACUAGUACAAACCAUUAUCUGGAAAUAGAAACAUAAAAACAUAGAAUGUGAUGGCAGAUAAGAAACAUUCGGCCCAUCUAGUCUGCCCAAUUUUCUAAAUACUUUCAUUAGUCCCUGGCCUUAUCUUAUAGCUAGGAUAGCUAGGAAAUCUAUUCAUAAACAGGGCUAUACAUAGGAUAUGAGGUCACGCAUUUAGACUGGAAGAAAGGAGAUUUAACUUAAGGCAAAAAAAAAUAAAUGAUUUUUUUACAGUUAGAACUAUAAGGAUAUGGAAUUCUCUGCCUGAAGAGGUGGUUUUAAUAGAGUCCAUACAGAUGUUUAAACAGCAAUUGGAUAAAUAUUUGCAAAAACAUAACAUACAAG